rnacentral:rRNA from 1 species
CGGAGGAAGGUGGGGACGACGUCAAAUCAUCAUGCCCCUUAUGUCUUGGGCUUCACGCAUGCUACAAUGGCCGGUACAAAGGGUUGCGAUACUGUGAGGUGGAGCUAAUCCCAAAAAGCCGGUCUCAGUUCGGAUUGGGGUCUGCAACUCGACCCCAUGAAGUCGG